GCCUGACUGGCUCAGUGGGAAGGGCAAGUGACUCUUGAUCUCAGGGUCGUGAGUUCAAGCCCCAUGGUGGGUG
rnacentral:tRNA from 1 species